UGUAUAAAUACCAAUAGAAAUUGGACAUUAAGAUUUACUAAAUUAAAUAAUGAAAAGUUAAACAUUUACGUUGAAAUUAAUGAUAUCAAUGGGGAUAUGCCAAAGAUAAUAUAAAAUCACAAAAUAAACUACACGAAACUGACCACAAAACGGCCUGAUUGGAUUCUAUCGUUCCAGUCUGAUAUACAGUUUCUAACUCAUAAUUGCAAGGCCAACUAUAUUGUAGAUAUAGAUCUCUUGAAGUAUUUGUAAAGCAAUGUUUGAACAUUGGGUCAUGUCGGGGAGCUCGUUUCUCAGUGUUGUUAUCAUCAGUCAUCUGACACUAAGUGACAGGCUGCGGUUGUUAGCUAGCAGUCCAGCUAAGUCCAAUUUGUGCAUUAUGAUGUAGUUCUUUUUAGGUUUUUGUUUUCCAGUAGAAUAUUAUAUUAGAAACCCCUACUAUAUGUGAAGUGCACUGGUGAUGAACAUAGUAAUGGAAUUCUACGUAAACAACAAUAGGGAGACGAGCGCUCGGCGGAAAUGGAGUCCCUAGAGAAGGCAAGAACAAGAUGGGUGUCAGGAGUGGGGCAGCAGUAUUAUCACAAGGAGACGUAUACUUGGAAAACGGAGGAGGAAUGGAGGGAAAAAGAGAGGGCUUGUGUCGGAUAAAAAUUGUGGGAAAGGGGAGAUGGUUUGUUAAAUAAGAAUGGUAGAAAGUGUAAGCAGGGUGAGCUGAAGACAGGAGGAGAAAUGGAAGUGAAUAAGUGUGAAGUAUCCUAUGUGGUAGGUUCGGUGAAGUUAUUGUAUGCCGAGGUAUGCACCGAGGAUCAGGAUGAAGAAGAGUGACAGAGUGAAUUUUAUGGAAAAAAAGCCUACCCUUCCCUUUUUGCUGAUCCAUUUGUGGUUUCACGGUGGGUGAAAAAAAGAGUUGGGCGAUGGUAACUAGAAGUGGUCUAGUGAUAACUGUGUUUUUGUGAGGCAGAGGGAGAAUACGCUUGGAGUAAAACUAAUGAGGGCAAGAAAAGUGAAUUGUUUCGUUCUCAAGAAAAGGGCACAAAUGAAAGGAGUGAUAACAUGGGUAGCAGUAAAUAUAAAAGUUGACCAGCUGAGGGGAAAGAUUCCCGGUGUAUGUGAUCGUCAUUUGAUGCGACGCAAACAGGGUGGGGAAACGGAAGUCAUUGUCUGUUUUUUUGAAGUUGAGUCUUUGCCCGAUAAAGUUUGGAUAUAUAAGUAAUCCUGUACGAGCGAUGUGCCGAAUACAUUACGACGUUACAGGUGUCAAGUUUAUGGGUAUGUGGCAGCAGUGUGUAGGAGGGAGGGUCCAAGGUGUGAGAAAUGUGCAGAAGGGCAUGAGACAAAGGAAUGUGUAGUAUGGGGGAAAGUCGCGGAAUGUGUUAAUUGUUGGUGUGCCCAUGGAGCUGGGGAUCAGAAAUGUCCCUUGCGAGGGAGACAUGGUUGAGGUUUCCAGGGUUAGAGUAGUGCAUUAGUUGUCACAUUGUACUGAAGGGAUGGAUCGGAAGUCUCGGGAAAAUUGAGGUUGUGGUGGCAGCUGCAGAGAGGUAUUUGGGUGUGCUAGACUUGACAUCAGAAGAGUUACCGGGUGUGUUAAGUGGUGACGUCCCAUCCUUUCAGGGUGAUGGCAUGAGGUAGGAAUAAAUACAUAGGGUGGUGUUCAUUUAAUUUUAUAUCAUUUUGAAAUUAGUGAGUGUAGUGUUAGAUGGUAGGGUAUUUAUUUAGUACAUUUGUAUUUUUCAAGCAAAGUAUAAUGGAGUUGUACUCCAGUCUAGUAGAUGGCGGUAAUGAAACACAUUGGCUGUCAACCGCUGUUAAACCUCAGAAGAAGUAAACAACAAUAUGUCUGGACCAAAUGGAGAUCCUAACAUCUCAACUGAUGAUGGCAUCACCGACAAUGAAGAUUAAUUCAGAGUAUGUAGCCAUCAACACUGCUGGAUCAGAUCAACUCCUGCCUGGAUGACCUGGAGGAACGCAACGACUCACUGAAUGACCAACUACAUGAACUGUUGGAAUCUAACUGGCAGGCCUGGCAGGAGUUCAGAGUUCAGCUGAGCACCGCUACACCCCCAGGAGAGGA